UACCAGCACCCCGAGUGGUCGGGACGAUUAUUGGGCCUAAAGCAUCCGUAGCCGGCCUUACAAGUCCUCCGUUAAAUCCAGCUGCUUAACAGAUGGGCUGCGGAGGAUACUAUAAGACUAGGAGGCAGGAGAGGCAAGCGGUACUCAGUGGGUAGGGGUAAAAUCCGUUGAUCCAUUGAAGGCCACCAGUGGCGAAGGCGGCUUGCCAGAAUGCGCUCGACGGUGAGGGAUGAAAACUGGGGGAGCAAACCGG
rnacentral:rRNA from 1 species